rnacentral:rRNA from 1 species
AGUGAACGCUGGCGGUAGGCCUAACACAUGCAAGUCGAACGGCAGCACAGUAAGAGCUUGCUCUUACGGGUGGCGAGUGGCGGACGGGUGAGGAAUACAUCGGAAUCUACUUUUUCGUGGGGGAUAACGUAGGGAAACUUAUGCUAAUACCGCAUACGACCUACGGGUGAAAGCAGGGGAUCUUCGGACCUUGCGCGAUUGAAUGAGCCGAUGUCGGAUUAGCUAGUUGGCGGGGUAAAGGCCCACCAAGGCGACGAUCCGUAGCUGGUCUGAGAGGAUGAUCAGCCACACUGGAACUGAGACGCGGUCCAGACUCCUACGGGAGGCAGCAGUGGGGAAUAUUGGACAAAGGGCGCAAGCCUGAUCCAGCCAUACCGCGUGGGUGAAGAAGGCCUUCGGGUUGUAAAGCCCUUUUGUUGGGAAAGAAAAGCAGCAGGUUAAUACCCCGCUGUUCUGACGGUACCCAAAGUAUAAGCACCGGCUAACUUCGUG